rnacentral:rRNA from 1 species
UACGUAGGGUGCAAGCGUUAUCCGGAAUCACUGGGCGUAAAGCGUGCGUAGGUGGGAAUUUAAGUGUGAUGUUAAAUCGUGUGGCUCAACCAUAUCGAUGCAUCGCAUACUGGGUUCCUAGAGGACGGCAGAGGCAAGUGGAAUUAGCAGUGUAGCAGUGAAAUGCGUAGAUAUUGCUAGGAACACCAAUGGCGAAGGCAGCUUGCUGGGCCACUCCUGACACUGAGGUACGAAAGCGUGGGGAGCGAACAGG